AGGAUGAACGCUGGCGGUCUGCUUAACACAUGCAAGUCGAACGGAGUACCUCGGUACUUAGUGGCGGACGGGUGAGUAACGCGUGAGAAUCUGCCCUUAGGUCGGGGACAACCAUUGGAAACGAUGGCUAAUACCGGAUAAGCCGAGAGGUAAAAGAUUAAUUGCCUAGGGAAGAGCUCGCGUCUGAUUAGCUAGUUGGUGAGGUAAAGGCUCACCAAGGCAUCGAUCAGUAGCUGGUCUGAGAGGAUGAUCAGCCACACUGGGACUGAGACACGGCCCAGACUCCUACGGGAGGCAGCAGUGGGGAAUUUUCCGCAAUGGGCGAAAGCCUGACGGAGCAAGACCGCGUGGGGGAAGAAGGCUCUUGGGUUGUAAACCCCUUUUCUCUGGGAAGAACGUUGUGAAAGCAGCCUGACGGUACCAGAGGAAUCAGCAUCGGCUAACUCCGUGCCAGCAGCCGC
rnacentral:rRNA from 1 species